GCCGGGCGUGGUGGCUCAUGCCUGUAAUCCCAGAACUUUGGGAGGCCGAGGCAGGUGGAUCACCUGAGGUCAGGGGUUCGAGACCAGCCUGGCCAACAUGGUGAAACCCUGUCUCUA
rfam:Gorilla gorilla gorilla genomic chromosome, chr9, whole genome shotgun sequence